rnacentral:rRNA from 1 species
GAUCAUGGCUCAGGAUGAACGCUGGCGGCGUGCUUAACACAUGCAAGUCGAACGGGGAUUAUUUCAUUGAAGCUUCGGCAGAUUUGGCUUAAUCCUAGUGGCGGACGGGUGAGUAACGCGUGGGUAACCUGCCUUGUACAGGGGGAUAACAGUCAGAAAUGACUGCUAAUACCGCAUAAGCGCACAGGACCGCAUGGUCCGGUGUGAAAAACUCCGGUGGUAUAAGAUGGACCCGCGUUGGA